GACGAACGCUGGCGGCGUGCUUAACACAUGCAAGUCGAACGCUGAAGCUCAGCUUUUGUUGGGUGGAUGAGUGGCGAACGGGUGAGUAACACGUGAGUAACCUGCCCCCUUCUUUGGGAUAACGCCCGGAAACGGGUGCUAAUACUGGAUAUUCACUGGUCUUCGCAUGGGGGUUGGUGGAAAGGGUUUUUCUGGUGGGGGAUGGGCUCGCGGCCUAUCAGCUUGUUGGUGGGGUGAUGGCCUACCAAGGCUUUGACGGGUAGCCGGCCUGAGAGGGUGACCGGUCACAUUGGGACUGAGAUACGGCCCAGACUCCUACGGGAGGCAGCAGUGGGGAAGAUUGCACAAUGGGCGCAAGCAUGAUGCAGCGAUGCCGCGUGAGGGAUGGAGGCCUUCGGGUUGUGAACCUCUUUCGCUCAUGGUCAAGCCGCAACAAUGGUUGUGGUGAGGGUAGUGGGUAAAGAAGCGCCGGCUAACUACGUG
rnacentral:rRNA from 1 species